rnacentral:rRNA from 1 species
GACGAACGCUGGCGGCGUGCUUAACACAUGCAAGUCGAACGGAAAGGCUCCAGCUUGCUGGAGUACUCGAGUGGCGAACGGGUGAGUAACACGUGGGUAAUCUGCCCUGCACUCUGGGAUAAGCCUGGGAAACUGGGUCUAAUACUGGAUAUGACCUUUCUCCUUAUGGGGUUUGGUGGAAAGUUUUUCGGUGUAGGAUGAGCUCGCGGCCUAUCAGCUUGUUGGUGGGGUGAUGGCCUACCAAGGCGACGACGGGUAGCCGGCCUGAGAGGGUGAUCGGCCACAUUGGGACUGAGAUACGGCCCAGACUCCUACGGGAGGCAGCAGUGGGGAAUAUUGCACAAUGGGCGGAAGCCUGAUGCAGCGACGCCGCGUUAGGGAUGACGGCCUUCGGGUUGUAAACCUCUUUCAGCAGGGACGAAGCGUAAGUGACGGUACCUGCAGAAGAAGCACCGGCUAACUAGGUG